rnacentral:rRNA from 1 species
GACGAACGCUGGCGGCGUGCUUAACACAUGCAAGUCGAACGAAGUGGCGAACGGGUGAGUAACGCGUAAUCAACCUGCCCUUCAGAGGGGGACAACAGUUGGAAACGACUGCUAAUCCCGCAUACUGACGGAGGGGAUUGCGUCGGAUUAGCUAGUUGGGGGGGUCACGGCCCACCCAGGCGAUGAUCAGUAGCCGGUCUGAGAGGUGUAACGGCAACAUUGGGACUGAGACACGGCCCAGACUCCUACGGGAGGCAGCAGUGGGGAAUAUGGCACAAUGGGCGCAAGCCUGAUGCAGCCAUGCCGCGUGUAUGAAGAAGGCCUUCGGGUUGUAAAGUACUUUCAGCGGGGAGCGUUACCCGCAGAAGAAGCACCGGCUAACUCCGUGCCAGCAGCCGCGGUAAGAAC